UUUGGCUCCAGUGGAAGCCAGAUCUCGGCCAAAUAUCAGCUGGUAAUUCUGGGAAACAUGAAAUACCCAGAUUGCUCGCUGGUAUCUGGCUGCGACUGGCUAAAUCAGCUUGCUUGUGU
rnacentral:precursor_RNA from 12 species